UCUCAAAUGUGGCCAAAUUUCAUCUCAAUAUGUGGCCGUCCAAAUCCAAAGGGAAGGUCCCUUCUAAAGAAAUAUAAACCGGUAAAUUUCACGUUGAUUGGCGCCGGUGCGCGCCGGUGCGCGCCGCUGACGUUUACACAAAAUGGCGUACUUUGCAACUGCACAAGUUAAAGUCGUCAAAGUUCACGAUGCAAUCCACUCUAAGUUGUUUUCUUAUCAGACUAGCAAUGCGAAUCAUGCUGUGUUCUCUCUAUUGUAUAACAUACGUACAGCUUCAAAAAGUUUACAAAUAAUAUACUAUGAAUGUGAUCGAGUGCUGAUAAAAUGGUAAAAAUAAAGGAAACAGAAUUAAAAAUCAGGAAACAGGAUUAAAAAAUUAUGAUAUAUAUCGAUGAUGAAUGGGAAAA